UUAACCAGUGGUUAGUAUCCCAUAAUUCAACAAUGGUUGUCUGAACAUGUAAACAAUAAUGGCUGCUGCAAAUGUUACUGAAGCGGACAGCGAACUUUUCACCAAAUGAGACACUAUUCUUAAUUGUACAAGUUAUAUAUUCUGAAGUCAACCGAUGCUGUUAACUCGAAAAGAAAAAAAAGGGGAGGGGUAAACAGUUGAGAAUGUAAAAGAGAUGUACAGGAAGACUUGUUUGAAAGGAAAAGAAAAAGAAACUGUAUGUAGACAACUCACUGAAUAUAAACUGGAGGGUGUCCACCUCCUUUGCUACUCGACCCUGUCUCAUAGAAAAUGAUUUAGAUCCACCGGGUAUCAGUGACUUUAUUCAUCGAGAUUUCAGGAGGAGUUGAGGAUGGAGGUCUCGGUAUUUACGGAAACCAAACGAUAUCUUACAAUGAAAACAUGGUGAGACGGCACAGCUGGGGCUCUACGAGAUCUGUGAUGUACCUGACUGAUUCUUUAGCAAAGAACAUGACCCACAAUAUGCCAUUUUUGGCCUACCAAAUUUGGAAAAAUUAAAGAACACUUUAGAAUAAA